rnacentral:misc_RNA from 1 species
GGAAAAAGCUUGAAGAAGUCAGAAGUUGCCCACUUGAAUUGGGGGACUUGAAAAUAGUUAGCCUUGGAAAAAUAGUAGAAGAUUCGGAGCUCUUUCGAGAUGAGGAAUUUAUCUGGCCAGAAGGUUAUACUGCUGUGAGGAAGUUGCCAUCAGUAACAGAUCCCAGUGUACGUGUAUCAUAUAAGAUGGAGGUACUGAGAGAUCCU